rnacentral:rRNA from 1 species
GAUGAACGCUGGCGGCGUGCCUAAUACAUGCAAGUCGAGCGAACGGACGAGAAGCUUGCUUCUCUGAUGUUAGCGGCGGACGGGUGAGUAACACGUGGAUAACCUACCUAUAAGACUGGGAUAACUUCGGGAAACCGGAGCUAAUACCGGAUAAUAUUUUGAACCGCAUGGUUCAAAAGUAAAAGACGGUCUUGCUGUCACUUAUAGAUGGAUCCGCGCUGCAUUAGCUAGUUGGUAAGGUAACGGCUUACCAAGGCAACGAUGCAUAGCCGACCUGAGAGGGUGAUCGGCCACACUGGAACUGAGACACGGUCCAGACUCCUUCGGGAGGCAGCAGUAGGGAAUCUUCCGCAAUGGGCGAAAGCCUGACGGAGCAACGCCGCGUGAGUGAUGAAGGUCUUCGGAUCGUAAAACUCUGUUAUUAGGGAAGAAUAUAUGUGUAAGUAACUGUGCACAUCUUGACGGUACCUAAUCAGAAAGCCACGGCUAACUACGUGCCAGCAGCCGCGGUAAUACGUAGGUGGCAAGCGUUAUCCGGAAUUAUUGGGCGUAAAGCGCGCGUAGGCGGUUUUUUAAGUCUGAUGUGAAAGCCCACGGCUCAACCGUGGAGGGUCAUUGGAAACUGGAAAACUUGAGUGCAGAAGAGGAAGGUGGAAUUCCAUGUGUAGCGGUGAAAUGCGCAGAGAUAUGGAGGAACACCAGUGGCGAAGGCGACUUUCUGGUCUGUAACUGACGCUGAUGUGCGAAAGCGUGGGGAUCAAACAGGAUUAGAUACCCUGGUAGUCCACGCCGUAAACGAUGAGUGCUAAGUGUUAGGGGGUUUCCGCCCCUUAGUGCUGCAGCUAACGCAUUAAGCACUCCGCCUGGGGAGUACGACCGCAAGGUUGAAACUCAAAGGAAUUGACGGGGACCCGCACAAGCGGUGGAGCAUGUGGUUUAAUUCGAAGCAACGCGAAGAACCUUACCAAAUCUUGACAUCCUUUGACAACUCUAGAGAUAGAGCCUUCCCCUUCGGGGGACAAAGUGACAGGUGGUGCAUGGUUGUCGUCAGCUCGUGUCGUGAGAUGUUGGGUUAAGUCCCGCAACGAGCGCAACCCUUAAGCUUAGUUGCCAUCAUUAAGUUGGGCACUCUAAGUUGACUGCCGGUGACAAACCGGAGGAAGGUGGGGAUGACGUCAAAUCAUCAUGCCCCUUAUGAUUUGGGCUACACACGUGCUACAAUGGACAAUACAAAGGGCAGCGAAACCGCGAGGUCAAGCAAAUCCCAUAAAGUUGUUCUCAGUUCGGAUUGUAGUCUGCAACUCGACUACAUGAAGCUGGAAUCGCUAGUAAUCGUAGAUCAGCAUGCUACGGUGAAUACGUUCCCGGGUCU